rnacentral:rRNA from 1 species
GACGAACGCUGGCGGCGUGCUUAACACAUGCAAGUCGAACGGAAAGGCCCUGCUUGCAGGGUACUCGAGUGGCGAACGGGUGAGUAACACGUGGGUGAUCUGCCCUGCACUUCGGGAUAAGCCUGGGAAACUGGGUCUAAUACCGGAUACGAGCCAUUUUUAGUGUGAUGGUUGGAAAGUUUUUUCGGUGUAGGAUGAGCUCGCGGCCUAUCAGCUUGUUGGUGGGGUAAUGGCCUACCAAGGCGGCGACGGGUAGCCGGCCUGAGAGGGUGGACGGCCACAUUGGGACUGAGAUACGGCCCAGACUCCUACGGGAGGCAGCAGUGGGGAAUAUUGCACAAUGGGCGCAAGCCUGAUGCAGCGACGCCGCGUGGGGGAUGACGGCCUUCGGGUUGUAAACUCCUUUCGCUAGGGACGAAGCUUUUUGUGACGGUACCUAGAUAAGAAGCACCGGCUAACUACGUG